ACUAAGAUAGACCUAGACCAAGGCCUUCAAAGCCCUCAGCGGAGUUAAACCUCUCAGUCCCUG
rnacentral:tRNA from 1 species